rnacentral:lncRNA from 1 species
GGAUCAUUAUUUUAUUUUACAUGUAUAUACAUAGAAAGAGCAAGAAAUGCAUACCCAAAAGAGAAGAGUAGAAUUUGUCUUGGAAAUAUGUGCUUUUCAAAAAAAAAUCCUCAUCUCUGUUCCUCCUUGUCUUUGCGCAAGUUUUCAAAAUUUUCCACCCUUGCCUGUUUCCUAGACAUUUAACCUUCUUCAAAAGUUGAAGUUACAGCCAUGUUCUUUGUAGGAGCUCCAAAUAAUUUAUGGUUGUUGUACAAGGUUGGAUAUGCCAGUGAACUGUUCUUUCAAGGGACCCAUGCCUAGUCAAUUUUUACUCCAAAAGGACACCCUCCUACCAUUACCACUUCGGUGUCAAUAUUUGAUCUAAAAGAGGGCCAAAGAUUUUCGGUAUUCCUUCUUUUUCUUUUUGGAACUUUUGGUUUUCCUCAAAAAUAUGGAAAUUAUAUUGAUAGUAAAAGAAAAUGAAACAGACAACGAAGUUCUCCAAUUAGACUGAGAAAUGAAGCAUAAGAGCAAAUUAAACUAAAGUUCUAGAUUAUCACCGAAUAAUGAGUUCAGUAAACUUGUGCUUUAGGGCUUUCAGCUGAAACUCAGGUAUGUUAAGGCUAUCCCUUCUUUCUUUUGGCAUGAUCCAUACGAUACAAACGGAACGUGCAAAUGCACAAAUUUCAUGAAUGACUCUAUUCAUAGAAGUAUUAGAAGUGCAUAUGUUCUUAAAAUUUCAUGUCUUAUUAUUCCAUCGUCUGUUCAUGGGUCUCAGAAAAUACGUAAAAUGAGUUUAUGAUAUUAAUCAGAGGUAUAAUGGUCUUAUGACGUACCAAGAGAUUUUGUUAUCGUAUUUCAUAUGCAUUUCAUGCAUUUAUACAUGUACAUUGACCCAUGACUCAGAUGGCGUUAUAUACGCAUAUAUAUAUGUAUAUAUAUGUAUAUGGGAUAUGGGAAAAGGCUACAGCAUUAUAUACGCACCACCACCUAAUCAGGUGGUAUAUGAUGAUGAUGUUGCCCGCAGUGGCUGAAAUAUGAUUCAAAUGGCGUUAUAUACGCAUAUAAGGGUAUGUAUUCAAAUGGCGUUAUAUAUGCAUAUAUAUGUAUGUAUUUAAACGGCAUUAUAUAUGCGUAUAUAUGUAUGUAUAUAUAUGUAUAUGGGAUAUGAGAAUGGUUAUGGCGUUAUAUACGCACCACCACCUGAUCAACUGGUAUACGAUUAUGACCUUGCCCACAGUGGUCGAUAUGAUAUGAUGGGAUGCCCUCAAAGGCUAAUGAUGUUAUGAAACAUAUACCUAUGCACGACAUGACAUUUUUAUGCAUAUGCAUGACGCUAAAAGUAAUUUAUGAUUUACAAAGUUAUUCAGACUUAAGGGUUGAGUCAUGUACUCCAAAUGUCUUCCAUGUCUCCUAUGUAUUUAUUUAUGUGCCUUACAUACUCGGUACAUUAUUCGUACUGACAUCCCUUUUGCCUGGGGACAUUGCGUUUCAUGCCCACAGGUCUUGAUAGACAGGUUGAGAGCUCUCCAAGUAGGCUAUCAGCUCAGCGGAAGAUGUUGAUGCGCUCCAUUUGCUUCGGAGUUGUGUAUUUGGUUAGUAUGAUUUAGACGUCUAUUUUUUGGUAUGGCGGGACUCUGUUCCGAACUUUGUGACACUUAUGUACUCUUAGAGGCUUGUAGACAUAUGUCGUGUACGUGAAAGAUUUUACGACCCUGUCGGCCUAUGUUUGAGUUUAUAAAUGAUUAUGUUAGCCUAUUAGGCCCAUAUGCCACAUGUAUAUAAUGAUGUAAUAAGAAAGGUACAUUACGUUGGUACUCAGUCAAGUAAGGUACUGGGUGCCCAUCGCGGUCCAUCGGUUUGGGUCGUGACAAAAGUGGUAUCAGAGCAGUUCUGUCCUAGGGAGUCUACAAGCCGUGUCUAGUAGAGUCUUGUUUGUGGGUGUGUCGUGCAUCACACUUAUAAGCAGGAGGCUAUAGGGCAUUUAGGAUUGUCACUCUUUCUUCUUACUCUAGAUCAUGUGGUAGAGCUCAGUCAUAGGAAUUCAAAUUCCUAAAUCCUAUUUGUAAUAAGACGAUACCUAUAUCCAGAAAGAAGGUUGGAAAGAGAAAUUGUUGUGGAAAAAGCUGAGUUAGAGGAAUUGAAUUUUUGUAUGAUUCCUACGAUAAGUAAAUAUGAGGUCUUUAGCGGAUCAUGUGUGUACUGAAAGGUGUAAUCUUCCUAAUAAGAAGCCUUAAGUCAAGAAUGCCUAUCCAUCUUUAUGGUAAAGGACAAUGAGAUAUUAAGAAGAUAAGUACAAGUUUCAGCAAGUAAAAGAAGUAAGGUGAAAAAAGGGGUUAGAGGUACCCAGUUAAUGAAGGUUAACAAUGCUUAUAAUUGAGGUAGAGAAACAUAAGUUUUUUUGAGAUAUAUUCAAUAGUAACAGAGGUAUAUACAAUUGGUUUCACCCCUUCCAGAUAUGCCCUAUGGGGGUAAACAAAAGUCAUAUAAGAAGAUAUGAUGAAUGAAUUGAUUGCGUCAGUUGACAUUUCCGAAGGAUAUUGCAAAUGUGCAAAUAGAUCUCUGUAUGAGACACCUAGAUGGUGCACUCUAAAAUAGUGCAGUCAUAUAUUAGUAUUACAAAGACAUGCACUAUAAACCUUGAAGGAAUAUAUAUUACCUUAGUGGGCUCGUGUCCCUAGUAAAUCGAGAACGUUAAGCAACUUGAAGAGACACUGGAUGGAGCAAAGGAAAGCUAAAAGCGAAAGAAUGUCGGAUUGAAGUUUUCACAAGAAAAGGGAUAUGCAGAAAUAUUAGCAGAGUAAUGAGAAGAGAGAUAAAUAAGCAUUAUGAAUAAGGUAUGAUACAUGAAUGAAAAUGGUAAGAGUGUUACAGAACCUAUAGUCAAAUGAAGAAAGAGACGAAAGGUGAUAGGCCUUAAGACAACAAAAGAGUAUAGGCCAUUAGGUUAUAUCCUCAUUUCAAGAAAUAAGUUCGUGAUUCCAACGCGACUACCAAAGGGGAGAGUUAAUCUCCAGAGUAACAGAAAUCAGUAUGGACUGGUAAACAAGAUAAACUAAAUAUGAAUUAGGGACUGAAUGAUUGGAAAGUACUCGACAUCAUGGUAAUUUCAGAUUUUGUUCCGGUAAUAAUAGAAUGGAUGACAAAAGAAAAUUCAUGAGAAAUUUAGAGAAUGGUCAUUAAGAAAGACGCUUCCCUACAGGAAGCAAUGUGAGCAAAGUUCAGCUUAAGGGACUGUAUGUGCCAGUUAUACUAAGUUUCACCCUCGUGAGUAAGCAAUUUUGCUAUCCUUGGUACGGACGGAUUACCACAAGCCCAGUAAGGGUCAUUGAUGAUGGGAAAGGAUGCCAAAGAUGAAAAGGUGAAACAUCUACAUACAGGUCAUUGUAGCUCCAACUCUUAGUAGACCCCAAAAGGGGGGAAUAUGGAGUGAUGUGGCAUUAAGUCAAAAUAAAGGGGUUCUAGUGACUAUGAAAUGGUAAAGUAAGAAUGCGAUAAAUGAAAAGGGAAUGAGAGGGCACUUAUCCAAAUCUUACAGGUACGCUACGAUUCAAGAAUAUUGUACAAGCACAUCGUCAAGGAGAGGAAGUAAAGGUUCCUGCCCGAGUUGUUAUUAAUAAAUAAGGAAAUAUAUGAUGCAAACAAGUUGAAAGGUUGCAAGUUGUGUAGGUCGCAAGCCAUUAUAUGGUAAAGCGACAAGGUUUUAGAAGACAAGAGUAAGGAUAUGAAAGGGCGAGUGAGAAGGUAGCAAAAAUGGAUAAAUCCUCAGGAUUAAGCCCAUGAAAACAAGAAGAGCAGAUGGUUUCUCUAAAUUAUACAAAGCUCACUAUACCCUGAAUGAACUCAAAGGAGUCUAAGACUAGUAGCAUUUAGAAAAGAUGGAAUGCUGCCCUGGUAGUACAAUGAGGGUGUAAUUGUGAUAGAUAAAAGAUGAACAGUAAUGAAGAAACAUUAAAGGACUUAAAUUUAUACAUAUGGAAUGAGCAAUGAGAGUAAGUUGGGAUUUGGUAGCAGACCUCAACAAUGAUAAAUUAAAGUAAGAGUUAUGACAGUAAUUCAUACGGAUAGUUAAACGGACCUAUGCGAUGAGAUAUAACAAUAUUCAUGAAUUCAACCAAGUACCGAACGAAGAACUUCAGUAUACUCAUAAAUGCCCAAAGGGAGAUCUUAUCAAGCUCUACAUGUGAAGUAUAGAGAUUGGACACACUUACAAGAUCAAAACUAUACAGGCUGCAUGAUUAAAGGUAGCAACAGUUACGAGAUUGGAAGAAUUUCGACUACAAGUUGUGGUGUGAGAAGGAGGCCUAAGGGGGGAUGCCCUAGACUUUGGAAUUAUUCACAGGAAAGUCACCUAGAUGACAAGGAAAGUUCUAAUAGUAUUCGGAAGAUAUAAGUUAAGUAAAUGAUAAGAGAAUAAGUCAACAUUCGAGGACGAAUGUUCCAAAUGGGGAAAUGAUGUUACGCCCCGCAAUAUUACGUCAAUAUUACGUCCCGAAUUAUUAUAUUAUAAUAAUGUUACGCUUCGCAGCAUUAAGAUACGACAUUGAUGCACCCUGCAGUAUUGUACGUUGAAUUUGUCGUAAGGCAAUUGACAUCAAAGGAAAAGAUAUUUGGAGAUUAUAAGGAUUGUAAGUGAUGAAUAGAUUCGUGAAGGUGAGAGGGGAAGCGGUCUAAAAAAUAAUUUUUUGUCAAAGUUUGGCAUUUUGGGAUAAAAUAUGGCCCGAGCUAAAAUACCCGGUAUUUAUGGACUAGUACCAUACAAGGUACCACAUGGCCAUAAUAGUAAGUUAUAGUAUGUGUAUUAAAAGUGAGUAAUAUUUUAAGUAUGUUGAGAUAAUUCUUAAUCUUGUGGAUAAUUGGGCUAGUUAAUGAUUUUGGUGGUAAGAUUAGCUAGGAAACUAAAAAUUUUAGGAUAAAGAUUUACGUGACAGCACCCCUUUCUUCAAUUGAUGACUCUUAAUAUAUUGGAGAAGGUGGCGUUUCAUUGUUCUUUAUGAAUAUGUGCACAUCAUAUGUUGUGGAAGCCAAGAACAACACCCUGUUUUUUAUUUGGCACAAAAACCAAACAAAUAAAUGAUAGUUUUACGGAUCAUUAUUUUAUUUUACAUGUAUAUACAUAGAAAGAGCAAAAAAUGCAUACCCAAAAGAGAAGAGUACAAUUUGUCUUGGAAAUAUGUGCUUUUAAAAAAAAACCUCAUCUCUGUUCCUCCUUGUCUUUGCACAAGUUUUCAAAAUUUUCCACCCUUGCCUAGUUCCUAGACAUUUAACCUUCUUCAAAAGUUGAAGUUACAGCCAUGUUCUUUGUAGGAGCUCAAAAUAAUUUAUGGUUGUUGUACAAGGUUGGAUAUGCCAGUGAACUAUUCUUUCAAGGGACCCAUGGCUAGUCAAUUUUUACUCCAAAAAGACACCCUCCUACCAUUACCACUUCGGUGUCAAUAUUUGAUCUAAAUGAGGGCCAAAGAUUUUCGGUAUUCCUUCUUUUUCUUUUUGGAACUUUUGGUUUUCCUCAAAAAAAUGGAAAUUAUAUUGAUAGUAAAAGAAAAUGAAACAGACAACGAAGUUCGCCAAUUAGACUGAGAAACGAAGCAUAAGAGCAAAUUAAACUAAAGUUCUGGAUUAUCACCGAAUAAUGAGUUGAGUAAACUUCUGCUUUAGGGCUUUCAGUUGAAACUCAGGUAUGUUAAGGCUAUCCCUUCUUUCUUUUGGCAUGAUCCAUACGAUACGAACGGAACGUACAAAUGCACAAAUUUCAUGAAUGACUCUAUUCAUAGAAGUAUUAGAAGUGUCUAUGUUCUUAAAUUUCCAUGUCUUAUUAUUCCAUCGUCUGUUCAUGGGUCUCAGAAAAUACGUAAAAUGAGUUUAUGAUAUUAAUCAGAGGUAUAAUGGUCUUAUGACGUACCAAGAGAUUUUGUUAUCGUAUUUCAUAUGUAUUUAAUGCAUUUAUACAUGUACAUAACCCAUGACUCAGACGACGUUAUAUACACGUAUAUAUGUAUAUAUAUGUAUAUGGGAUAUGGGAAAAGGCUACGGCGUUAUAUACGCACCACUACCUAGUCAUCUGGUAUAUGAUGAUGAUGUUGCCCACAGUGGCUGAAAUAUGAUUCAAACGGCGUUAUAUACGCACCACCACCUGAUCAGCUGGUAUACGAUUAUGACCUUCCCACAGUGGACGAUAUGAUAUGAUGGGAUGCCCUGACGCUAAAAGUAAUUUAUGAUUUACAAAGUUAUUCAUACUUACGGGUUGAGUCAUGUACUCCAUAUGUCUUCCAUGUCUCCUAUGUAUUUAUUUAUGUGCCUUACAUACUCGGUACAUUAUUCGUACUGACAUCCCUUUUGCCUGGGGAUGCUGCGUUUCAUGCCCGCAGGUCUUGAUAGACAGGUUGAGAGCCCUCCAAGUAGGCUAUCAACUCAGCGAAAGAUGUUGGUGCGCUUCAUUUGCUUCGGAGUUGUGUAUUUGGUUAGUAUGAUUUAGACGUCUAUUGUUUGGUAUGGCGGGACUCUGUUCCGAACUUUGUGACACUUAUGUACUCUUAGAGGCUUGUAGUCAUAUGUCGUGUACGUGAAAGAUUUUACGGCCCUGUCGGCUUAUGUUUGAGUUUAUAAAUGAUUAUGUUAACCUAUUAUGCCCAUAUACCACAUGUAUAUAAUGAUGUAAUAAGAAAAGUACAUUACGUUGGUACUCAGUCAAGUAAGGUACUGGGUGCCCGUCGCGG